rnacentral:tRNA from 1 species
GGACGGCUAGCUCAAUGGUUAGAGUGUCUGUCCCACAGAGGCAGAAGAUUCCAGUUCAAUUCUGGAGUCGUCCG